GAGUUCGAGAGGAUUGUGAGAAAAAGAAGGGAAAAGGAAAACAGAAGAAAGCGUGGCAAGCAACAAACACAACUGCACAACAUAGCUGAGCAAUCGAAGAGGAUAAGGAUGGAGUAGAAAUGGUGGGAUUUGGCAUACGCCAGUUCGCUUUCAAGUAAAUGAAGAGAGAAAAUACGGACUAUCCGAUAUUAGAAAAUGCUUCACCGGACCCCGGGGUCGCUUUCUGGGCAAACGUGCUGAAGGGGAUCGACGAAACCAACCAAU